GGCUUCGUGGCCUAAUGGCUAAGGCGUUGCUUUCCGGUAAUAACACUGGAUUUGGCAAAGAUUGUGGGUUCGAGUCCCGUCGAGGUCG